rnacentral:snRNA from 1 species
GCUUGCUUGGGAAGCAUAUAUUGGAACAAUACAGAGAUGAUUAGCAUGGCCCCUGCACAAGGAUGGCAUUCAAAUUUAUGAAGUGUUUCAUAUUUAA